UACAGAGGGGGCAAGCGUUAUUCGGAAUUAUUGGGCGUAAAGGGCGCGUAGGCGGCAUGGCAAGUGGAAGGUGAAAUCCCUCGGCUCAACUGAGGAACUGCCCUCCAAACUGCUUUGCUUGAGUCCGGGAGAGGUGAGUGGAAUUCCGAGUGUAGAGGUGAAAUUCGUAGAUAUUCGGAAGAACACCAGUGGCGAAGGCGGCUCACUGGACCGGCAUUGACGCUGAGGUGCGAAAGCGUGGGGAGCAAACAGG
rnacentral:rRNA from 1 species